rnacentral:rRNA from 1 species
AAUCCUACGGGAGGCAGCAGUGGGGAAUAUUGCGCAAUGGGCGAAAGCCUGACGCAGCGACGCCGCGUGAGGGAUGAAGGUCUUCGGAUCGUAAACCUCUGUCAGCAGGGAAGAACGGACACUGUGCUAAUCAGCAGUGAAUUGACGGUACCUGCAACGGAAGCACCGGCUAACUCCGUGCCAGCAGCCGCGGUAAUACGGAGGGUGCGAGCGUUAAUCGGAAUUACUGGGCGUAAAGCUCUCGUAGGCUGUCUGUCAAGUCAAGUGUGAACUCCCCGCGCU